rnacentral:rRNA from 1 species
UACGAAGGGGGCUAGCGUUGCUCGGAAUCACUGGGCGUAAAGCGCACGUAGGCGGCUUUCUAAGUCAGGGGUGAAAUCCUGGAGCUCAACUCCAGAACUGCCUUUGAUACUGGAGAGCUUGGGUCCGGAAGAGGUGAGUGGAACUCCGAGUGUAGAGGUGAAAUUCGUAGAUAUUCGGAAGAACACCAGUGGCGAAGGCGGCUCACUGGUCCGGUACUGACGCUGAGGUGCGAAAGCGUGGGGAGCAAACAGG